rnacentral:tRNA from 1 species
AGAAAUAUAACUCAAGGGUAGAGUGUGUGUCUUACAAACACGAAGUUAUAGGUUCAAAUCCUUUUAUUUCUA